rnacentral:lncRNA from 1 species
CACUUUUUGACAAACCCUAGAUCAGUACGCCAGUUCUUCUUCUUCAUUAUUCGUCGCUGAUAUAUAAUCCAAAACUGAAAAAACUGAUCGGUUGCAUCAGGUAUGUUGGGAAGAAGAUAGAUAUGGCAACGAAUGAUGGCGAAGAGAUAAGCUGUGAUGGGUUGGGUUGCAUCAGCCUCCUUCGAAGUCAACAACAGUAAUUCAAGUUGCAAUACUUGCUGGUCAACGUGAUACGCCUCCUUUAGAGUCAACAGCAGCAGCCGGAGUUACAACUUCUGUAGGUUAACAUGGAACUUCUGCACUGUCUUAAUGCUCAAUAGGGUCAACGUCAAAUCAAAGGUAAUAGUGAUCUAUAAUUUGUAGCAAAAUAAGUUUACAUGUUAAGAUCAAGAUGGGAAGGAAAAACUUCCGAUUAAAAGGUCAAGAAGAAGCCUCGGCAGUUUAAAUAUGAUUACUGGCAAGAAUAAUGAACUGAACAAAGCAGGUGCAUCUGCUAACGGAGCUUAUCCCAAAAGGUCUAAAAAAUAUGAGGAAAGAGUUGCAGAUUAAGAUGGCUAAACUAUCUGAUACCCAAUGUUAAACAUGGUCAAUUCACUGGUGAUGAAGACAAGAUGAUCUGCAGUUUGUAUGCUAAUUUUGGUAGCAGGUUCAGAUGGCUUUGAAUUCGGGUUGGUUUUGGGUUGCAGUAUGCAACCAUGCCGAAGCUCCACCAUGUGGAUGUAAUUAAAAAGAAUUAUUUUAGGCUGCUCUUUGUUCUACACAGCUUGAUCAUGUUUAUUGAAAGUUGGUGCCUUUGCAGUUCUACAUAGCUUGAUCAUUGUUCUACACGACUCUUCGUCAAUCCUAACGUGUACCCUCAAAAUCUAACAUCUGAAACCGGGGACCCCAAAACAAUCGGCCAAACAGUGAUGAUGAUGGUUAUGAAUGCAAACGGCAGCGGUAUCAAGGAGUUGUAGCGGCGACCGUCUAGGGGUUAAGCGUGUGGAGACACUGAUGACUGUAUUUCAACUUCUGAGGCUGAAGAAAUGACCGUAAAACUUGAGGAAUAUUAGAUUAAAAAUCUACCUAGACCUGGACAAGUGAAUUUUUAUCAAUGGAGGCCCCUAUAUGCUAGGUACUCAUUUCUUAUACAAAGCUCUCUUAACUUAUUAGAACUCAUAUACAAAUUAGGGGUGUUAAAUGGGUCAUGUUCAUGAUUUGACUUAUCAAAACCAACACGACAUGAACCCGUGAAAAUCGUUCUAAAGAUGACAUUCUUGUAUCUAAUGAAUGCCUCACAUAUGACCAAUAUGCAACAGUUAGCCAAAUUCAUAGAUAUUCAACAACUCUCCUACGGUUUCUUAAUAAUAUAUUGGACAAAUGCAGUGUAAUAUUGUAAAAGAAUUAUAACCUGAAUUUAGAGAGAAAUAAUAUUGUCUCAUAGUAUAUAAGUUAUAUUCUAACAAAGUUACGAAUUGCAAAAAAUUAUGUAGUAACUCUUACAUAAAGUUUACUAAUGCUUUAGCUUCAUUAGUGUUUGUUUAUAUUGAUUGAAUUGUUUCGGAGGUAAUGUGCUUUUUUACCCUUUUCAAAAUCUUUGACAAAUACUUAGUGAGUUAUUAUAACUACAAAAACAAUAUUAUUAACUUUCGAUAUGUUUUUUAUCGAAAAGUUUAUAGAUACUUAUAAUAUUUUGAAUUUUCGAACAACAAUUUUUUUCCACCUAAAUAUGACAUAACCUUGAAUCUUUAUGAUUGUUGCAUUUUCAUGGGACGUUGGGUGCAUUCCGCGUGAAAGAAGAUGACAAACGGUGUGACUCCUUUGUUGGUGCUCUCCUAAUAACGAUUGUUGACGACCAAUCCAUUAAUAGAGGUACUUGACACCUUUGCAGAGAUCCAAGACAGUCAUAUUGUCGUAAGAGAAGUGGAAAGGAAGCUUCUUGAGUUGCAACAAGUGUGUAUAUGUGUAUAUAAAAGGAUAAUGUUAACAGAAUACUUUAUUUAAUCCAUGAUUAUAAGUAUGUAUUAAUCAUAAAUAGUUUUUAACAAAACUAACUUUCACAAGGUAAACUAAUAAUAGAAACUUUUGUGGGUC